CUGUGCCAGAGGUCACUAACGCCUGUACAAGUGUUAUAGUUGCUUGUUCAGGCCAUUUUACUCCCUGGAAAGUCUAAGGCCUUUCACACGAGUGACAGAUUACGUCCGGAUGCGUU